ACUUAAAUAACUUAUAAUUUAGAGUGUAAUAUUGAAGAUAUUAAAGAGAUUAAUUAAUCUUUAAGUAAUAUA
rnacentral:tRNA from 1 species